rnacentral:rRNA from 1 species
UACGGGGGGGCAAGCGUUGUUCGGAAUUACUGGGCGUAAAGGCUCGUAGGCGGCCAACUAAGUCAGACGUGAAAUCCCUCGGCUUAACCGGGGAACUGCGUCUGAUACUGGAUGGCUAGAGGUUGGGAGAGGGAUGCGGAAUUCCAGGUGUAGCGGUGAAAUGCGUAGAUAUCUGGAGGAACACCGGUGGCGAAGGCGGCAUCCUGGACCAAUUCUGACGCUGAGGAGCGAAAGCCAGGGGAGCAAACGGGG